CCUUCGGGUUGUAAAGCUCUUUUGUCAGGGAAGAAACGGCUGUGGCUAAUAUCCUCGGCUAAUGACGGUACCUGAAGAAUAAGCACCGGCUAACUACGUGCCAGCAGCCGCGGUAAUACGUAGGGUGCAAGCGUUAAUCGGAAUUACUGGGCGUAAAGCGUGCGCAGGCGGUUUUGUAAGUCUGACGUGAAAUCCCCGGGCUUAACCUGGGAAUUGCGUUGGAGACUGCAAGGCUAGAAUCUGGCAGAGGGGGGUAGAAUUCCACGUGUAGCAGUGAAAUGCGUAGAGAUGUGGAGGAACACCGAUGGCGAAGGCAGCCCCCUGGGUCAAGAUUGACGCUCAUGCACGAAAGCGUGGGGAGCAAACAGGAUUAGAUACCCUGGUAGUCCACGCCCUAAAC
rnacentral:rRNA from 1 species